UGGGGAAUUUUGGACAAUGGGCGCAAGCCUGAUCCAGCAAUGCCGCGUGCAGGAUGAAGGCCUUCGGGUUGUAAAGCCCUUUUGUUGGGAAAGAAAUCCUAUCGGUUAAUAACCGGUGGGGAUGACGGUACCCAAAGAAUAAGCACCGGCUAACUUCGUGCCAGCAGCCGCGGUAAUACGAAGGGUGCAAGCGUUACUCGGAAUUACUGGGCGUAAGGCGUGCGUAGGUGGUGGUUUAAGUCUGCUGUGAAAGCCCUGGGCUCAACCUGGGAAUUGCAGUGGAUACUGGGUGACGAGAGUGUGGUAGAGGACAGUGGAAUUUCCGGUGUAGCAGUGAAAUGCGUAGAGAUCGGAAGGAACAUCUGUGGCGAAGGCGACUGUCUGGGCCAACACUGACACUGAGGCACGAAAGCGUGGGGAGCAAACA
rnacentral:rRNA from 1 species